GCUGAGUAAUAUUUCUUGGCAUCAUCUUUAUCUAUUCAUCUGUCGAUGGACACUAAGCUGUUUCCAUAUCUUGGCUCUUGUGAACAAGGCUGCAGUCAACACAAGAAUGCAGAUGCCUCUUUGAGAUUCUGAUGUCAAUUCUGGUGGAUAUAUACCCCAAAGUGGGAUCGCUGGAUUGUGCUGAGUGAAAGAAGCCAGUCACAGAAGGACAAAUAUUGUGUGAUUCCACUUAUGCGAGCUAUCUGAAACGGUUCAACUCACUAUAGUUGACAACACUGCAUUGUGUCAUUGAAAUUUGCGAAGAGAGAACUUAAAUAUGCUCGCAAGAAGAAGAGAGAAAGAGAAGAAAAGAGAAACCUGUGUGGUGUGACGGAUGUGUUAUUUAUCCUGAUGAGGAGAAUCCUUUCGCAAUGUAUCAAAUCAUGUCAUUGUAAAUAGCUAACACGUUUAUUUGGCAGUGAUGCCCUAUUAAAACUGAAAAAAUACCCCCCCCAAACCAAAAAAGAAGGAAAAAAUGUCAAACUCACAGAAACAGAGGAGAAUGGUGAUUGCCAGGAGCUGGGGGAAGAGGAAAGAGGGAGCUGCUGUCCGACAGGCACAAAGUUUCAGUCGUGCGAGAUGAGUAAGUUCUAGAGAGCUGCUCACAGCCCUGUGCCCAGAGUUCCCAGUACUGCAGCGUGCGCUUAUGACUUGGUUAAGUGGGCCGACCAUACGAGGCAUCAGAAGAGAUCACAUCCAUGUGCUUAGAGAACGUCACGUGUGCUCUGCGUCCUCCACGUAGGCAGGGCGGGAUGGCUGAAGUGGGCUGGAGUCCCCACAGGCAGCGCACCAGCAUGGAGAGGGUGUGCACAUGACCUGGGGGUGCGCUAUUAGAUAGAGCAACAAAACCAGAGGGUCUUGGGCUGAGUUUGUGCUGACACAGCCCCGCUCUGUGUCUGAGUCGCUGGGACAGAAGGCCACCAUUUCCUGCACCGGCAGCAGCGGCAACAUUGGAAGCAAAUAUGUG
rnacentral:lncRNA from 1 species